rnacentral:rRNA from 1 species
GAUUAAGUUAUUAAGGGCGCACGGUGGAUGCCUUGGCACUAGAAGCCGAUGAAGGACGUUACUAACGACGAUAUGCUUUGGGGAGCUGUAAGUAAGCUUUGAUCCAGAGAUUUCCGAAUGGGGAAACCCAGCAUGAGUUAUGUCAUGUUAUCGAUAUGUGAAUACAUAGCAUAUCAGAAGGCACACCCGGAGAACUGAAACAUCUUAGUACCCGGAGGAAGAGAAAGAAAAUUCGAUUCCCUUAGUAGCGGCGAGCGAAACGGGAAGAGCCCAAACCAACAAGCUUGCUUGUUGGGGUUGUAGGACACUCUAUACGGAGUUACAAAGGACGACAUUAGACGAAUCAUCUGGAAAGAUGAAUCAAAGAAGGUAAUAAUCCUGUAGUCGAAAAUGUUGUCUCUCUUGAGUGGAUCCUGAGUACGACGGAGCACGUGAAAUUCCGUCGGAAUCUGGGAGGACCAUCUCCUAAGGCUAAAUACUCUCUAGUGACCGAUAGUGAACCAGUACCGUGAGGGAAAGGUGAAAAGCACCCCGGAAGGGGAGUGAAAUAGAACCUGAAACCGUGUGCUUACAAGUAGUCAGAGCCCGUUAAUGGGUGAUGGCGUGCCUUUUGUAGAAUGAACCGGCGAGUUACGAUUUGAUGCAAGGUUAAGCAGUAAAUGUGGAGCCGUAGCGAAAGCGAGUCUGAAUAGGGCGUUUAGUAUUUGGUCGUAGACCCGAAACCAGGUGAUCUACCCUUGGUCAGGUUGAAGUUCAGGUAACACUGAAUGGAGGACCGAACCGACUUACGUUGAAAAGUGAGCGGAUGAACUGAGGGUAGCGGAGAAAUUCCAAUCGAACCUGGAGAUAGCUGGUUCUCUCCGAAAUAGCUUUAGGGCUAGCCUCAAGUGAUGAUUAUUGGAGGUAGAGCACUGUUUGGACGAGGGGCCCCUCUCGGGUUACCGAAUUCAGACAAACUCCGAAUGCCAAUUAAUUUAACUUGGGAGUCAGAACAUGGGUGAUAAGGUCCGUGUUCGAAAGGGAAACAGCCCAGACCACCAGCUAAGGUCCCAAAAUAUAUGUUAAGUGGAAAAGGAUGUGGCGUUGCCCAGACAACUAGGAUGUUGGCUUAGAAGCAGCCAUCAUUUAAAGAGUGCGUAAUAGCUCACUAGUCGAGUGACACUGCGCCGAAAAUGUACCGGGGCUAAACAUAUUACCGAAGCUGUGGAUUGUCCUUUGGACAAUGGUAGGAGAGCGUUCUAAGGGCGUUGAAGCAUGAUCGUAAGGACAUGUGGAGCGCUUAGAAGUGAGAAUGCCGGUGUGAGUAGCGAAAGACGGGUGAGAAUCCCGUCCACCGAUUGACUAAGGUUUCCAGAGGAAGGCUCGUCCGCUCUGGGUUA